GUCGCCUCAAUCGACUGGAUGAUUCGGUGAAUGACUUGGAUCGCGAGUUCGGUUGCUUGCAACCGGUUCUUGUGAGAGAUUUUGUAAACCAAAUCAUCUGAAGAAUGAGA
rnacentral:rRNA from 1 species